rnacentral:lncRNA from 1 species
UUUAGAUAUACAUGGCAAUAGAGUAUAUUUUGACAUAUUAUACAUACGUGGAGUAUAUCUUAUUCUAAUUAGUAUCCCAUUCUUGUGGUUGUACAUGAUGUGGAGUUUCACUGGUGGUGUAUUCAUAUAUGAACAUAGGAAAAUUAUGUCAGAUUUAUUCUACUCUCUUUCCUAUUCCUAUCCCCGCCUCCUUUCCCUUCAUUCCCCUUUGUCUAGAAUACACAUUCUUUUCAACUGCACAUCUAACUUUUUCCAAGACAGAUCAUGUAUUAGGCCACAAAGCAAAUCUUAUCAUAUUUAAGAAGACUGAAAUUACAUCAAAUACCUUUUCUGACCAAAAUAGUAUAAAAUUAGAAAUCAAUAACAAGGGAGUAUUUAGAGAAUUCACAAAUACAUGCAAAUUAAACAACACACUCCUGAACAAACAAUGGGUUAAUUAAUUUUUUGAGACAGACAAAAAUGGAAACACAACACACCAAAAACUAUUGGAUAUAGUAAAAGCAUCAGUGAAAACAAAGUCUGUAGGAAUAAACACCUAUAUCAAAAAGAACAAUAUAUUUCAAAUAAAACUAAUGUAUUUUAGAAAAUUAGAAAAACAAUAAUUAACCAAGCCCAAUUUUUGGAGAAGAAAGGGAAUAAUAAUAGGCAGAGCAGUAAUAAAUGAAAGAUAAACUAGGAAAAACAACAGAAGAGAUUAAUCAAAUAGUUGUCUUUUUGAAAAGAUAAAUAAAAUGAACAUACUUCAGCAAGGCAAUUAAGAAAAAAAAAUAACACUCAAAUAAGAAAAAUUGGGUAAGGAGACAUGACAACUGACCCAAUAUAAAUACAAAAGAUCUUAAGAGGAGAAAAGUUUGUGAAUUAGAGAAAGGAUCACUUCCCAGCAGUUCCUCAGCACCAGACUUAAAAGGCAAGAAGACUGCUUCUCAGUGAGGUGUGUAAUCACUGAAACUUAAUACUGGACUGCAAAAGAAAUCAUAAAGAAAGUCAGAAACUUGAAUAUGAGAAAUAGUACAUUAGAGAGAUGUUAAUUUAGUUGACAGCAGCAGCAACAGAGGGGAGGGUGAACAAAGAUAAAGAAAAUUGUAUAGCUGGUAGAUAAAUAAAUUAAAGAAAUAAGUGCUUGGGGAUACCUGUGGAUUCAAGAGAAGUUUGAUUGUAAUGGACACAGAGUUCAUAGGGAAAAUGGUUCCAUUAAAAAAAAAUAGCAGACCUAGGGGUGGGAAGCAUUAUAUUGGCACAAAAAGCAAUCCCCCUGGUGCAGGAAACAUCUACAAGUGCUGCAAAGCAGUGAGCAGAGACAGGAAAUCAGGAGUUUAUAAAGGAAGUUACCAGGAGUCACAAUGACUUUUAAAAUUCCCAGAGGAUGCCUGAACCAGAGAGACUGAAAUAGGCAAAAAGAAAAUUAUACCUGGACCAUUCAGACUCUGGAUACCAAGAGGAGAGUGUUCCCUUUAUUUCUAGUCCCAUAAGAGCUAUUGGUAAUAUGCCAGUGAUAGCCACACAGGAGCAUCUGCACUCCAGUGCAGAUACCUGGUAUUUCCUAUUCCUAGCUGUGAAGGUGAACCUGUAGUGGUUUAUUCCCUAUGCCCUAAAAGUGUAUUUUACUAGAAGCCCUAGAGAUGUAGCUGUCUUGCAGAGACCAGCAUCUCUCCAUCAAUUUGGGGGUGUGUAUCAAAUCUCAAAUACCUUUGCACAGAGUUAAAAAAUUCAGUCAAGUUUAACCCUCAAGUACUGGAACUUCCUGUUUAGAGCACUGCAAUGCCUCCACUACAGAAAUGCACACAGCCAUAUCAAUGUUUAUAGCAGCACAAUUCACAGUAUCUAAAUUGUGGAACCAACCCAGAUGCCCUUGAAUAGAUGAAUGGGUAGGGAAACUUUGGCCCAAUGUUUUCUUUUAUAUGAGGAUCCUGACUCAUAAUGGCAAUGGAGGGGGAGCAUGGGAGAAAUGGAGAAACUUUAGGCAGGGUAUAG